UUGGUUAACAUAGCACAGACAAAUAAGCUGGUGUUCUUUAGUCUUUCUCCCACUCAAAGUGAGGAGGACUUCGUACGCUACUGUGUAGCUGUACUCUUGUAAUCAUUCAGGAAUCAAAUGCAUGCGUAUCUCUAGGGACUUUGGUCUCUCCAGCGGGGGGGUGACACUGUUCAGCUGACAUCUCUGAGAGAUACAGCAUCAGGCAGCAUGGGCAAUAGCCCAUGUGAAGGUGUCUGAACAGGACUGGACUCGAGUCAUCGGAGACUGGGCAGUGCCUUCCCACCUAUUCCCACGUUCCCAGGCGCGUGAAGUCCUCUGAGAAGCUGAUUUUCUUAUUUGAUAUAAAAACUGGUAACAUUUGUCAAUAGCAGUGGAUUAUAGAAGCUUUAAAAAGUACGCAUUCUCUACUGCCAUGAAUAACACAGCAAACUGGCUGAGCUGUGUGGGAAACCUUGGUGUGUUUGCUUAGGCUCACUUGAAGUGCAAAUAGUCAUAAGUAUUCAUGACAGAAAGUUUUAUUUUUUAUGAAACAAAUGAGCUGAAAUGCAUUGUGUUGCACUGUAUCUGAAGACACAGAUUCUGCUAAUUCGGGGUGGACAGAUUUUUACAUGUGAAAAUGCCAGAACCUCUAUUUAAAUUUAUCUUUCAGCCACAAAAAUGGGAAUUAUUACAAUAAAGUAACCUGAAACCUUGUUGUGAGAUUUUUGUAUAAUUAUACUGGUUUCCCACAGUUAAGAGUAUGAAUAAGCUUCUGAUAAUAAGUUCUCAGUGUUCUUUCUGAUGCGGUGAAGGGAUUCUUUACGAACCUUUCAAACUGAAGAAACUACUGAAGGAAAACUCUGAGACACGGUGGUUCAUAACAGGAUGUGUUCUUCAGCUGGAUAAACUGAAGGAGUGGCACCUCCAGAUUGUAUCCCUCCAGUAAGGAACACAUUAAAAGGAAAAACAAACAGAACUGUCACAUCAGAGCCAUCUCCCAUUACGCUAGCUCUUUCCAGUUAUCAGCAUUUUCAAAAGCAGUUAUUCAGCUUCUGAACUGUAAAUCGACCUGAAAACUUUUUGUGAAUUAAAACUGAAUUUUGAACAGGUAAUUUUUGAUAAAGUUUCACUUGAUAACAUUAGUAUUACAAAAAUUGUAUCACAGCCAUAAAAAAUACAUAUUGACAUUUAUGUAUAUCAAUCUAUGCAUGCAUAGAAUGUAAAUGUUUUGUAUAGUGUAUUUUAUAUCUCAUGUUUAUAUUGUUUUAUAACAAUAAAAAAUCAUAAAAAUA